rnacentral:rRNA from 1 species
CCUACGGGUGGCAGCAGUGGGGGAUAUUGCACAAUGGGGGAAACCCUGAUGCAGCGACGCCGCGUGAGUGAAGAAGUAUUUCGGUUUGUAAAGCUCUAUCAUCAGGGAAGAAACUGACAGUAACUCCCCAGGAAUCCCCGGCGAACUACGUCCCAGCAGCCGCCGCAGUACGUAGGGGGCAAGCGUUAUCCGGAUGUACUGGGUGUAAAGGGGGCGUAGACGGUUAAGUAAGUCUGGAGUGAAAGCCCGGGGCCCAACCCCGGGACUGCUUUGGAAACUGUGUAACUGGAGUACAGGAGGGGCAGGCGGAAUUCCUGGUGUAGCGGUGAAAUGCGUAGAUAUCAGGAGGAACACCGGCGGCGAAGGCGGCCUGCUGGACUGAAACUGACGUUGAGGCGCGAAAGCGUGGGGAGCAAACAGGAUUAGAUACCCCUGUAGUC